rnacentral:rRNA from 1 species
AUUGAACGCUGGCGGCAGGCUUAACACAUGCAAGUCGAGCGGGGGAAGGUAGCUUGCUAUCGGACCUAGCGGCGGACGGGUGAGUAAUGCUUAGGAAUCUGCCUAUUAGUGGGGGACAACAUCUCGAAAGGGAUGCUAAUAUCGCAUACGUCCUACGGGAGAAAGCAGGGGAUCUUCGGACCUUGCGCUAAUAGAUGAGCCUAAGUCGGAUUAGCUAGUUGGUGGGGUGAAGGCCUACCAAGGCGACGAUCUGUAGCGGGUCUGAGAGGAUGAUCCGCCACAAUGGGAGUGAGACACGGCCCAGACUCCUACGGGAGGCAGCAGUGGGGAAUAUUGGACAAUGGGGGGAAACCUGAUCCAGCCAUGCCGCGUGUGUAAAGAAGGCCUAUGGUUGUAAAGCACUUUAAGCUAGGAGGAGGCUACUCUAGUUAAUACCUAGGGAUAGUGGACGUUACUCGCAGAAUAAGCACCGGCUAACUCUGUGCCAGCCGCCGCAGUAA